AGUUUGAUCCUGGCUCGAAUGAACGCUGGCGGCAGGUCUAACACAUGCAAGUCGAACGGAGUUAUAUUGUAGCUUGCUAUGGUAUAACUUAGUGGCAGACGGGUGAGUAAUGUAUAGGAAUCUACCUAGUAGUACGGAAUAAUUGUUGGAAACGGCAACUAAUACCGUAUACGCCCUACGGGGGAAAAAUUUAUUGCUAUUAGAUGAGCCUAUAUUAGAUUAGCUAGUUGGUGGAGUAAUAGCCUACCAAGGCAAUGAUCUAUAGCUGAUCUGAGAGGAUGAUCAGCCACACUGGAACUGAGAUACGGUCCAGACUCCUACGGGAGGCAGCAGUGGGGAAUAUUGGACAAUGGGCGAAAGCCUGAUCCAGCCAUGCCGCAUGAGUGAAGAAGGCCUUUGGGUUGUAAAGCUCUUUUAGUGAGGAAGAUAAUGACGGUACUCACAGAAGAAGUCCUGGCUAACUCCGUGCCAGCAGCCGCGGUAAUACGGAGAGGGCUAGCGUUAUUCGGAAUUAUUGGGCGUAAAGGGCGCGUAGGCGGAUCAGUAAGUUAAAAGUGAAAUCCCAAGGCUCAACCUUGGAAUUGCUUUUAAAACUGCUAAUCUAGAGAUUGAAAGAGGAUAGAGGAAUUCCUAGUGUAGAGGUGAAAUUCGUAAAUAUUAGGAGGAACACCAGUGGCGAAGGCGUCUAUCUGGUUCAAAUCUGACGCUGAGGCGCGAAGGCGUGGGGAGCAAACAGGAUUAGAUACCCUGGUAGUCCACGCUGUAAACGAUGAAUGUUAAAUAUGGGAAGUUUUACUUUCUGUAUUACAGCUAACGCGUUAAACAUUCCGCCUGGGGACUACGGUCGCAAGA
rnacentral:rRNA from 1 species